rnacentral:lncRNA from 1 species
CCUUGUUACUCCCUCUGGCCUUACUGGUGAUGCUGGAAUCACUGCUGGCCACUAUUUCCACAUCCUUUGCUGAUAUAACUAUGCAAGUGGAGCUGUCAUCACCAGAAAGGCAGAUGACUUGCUUCUCCUGCACAGCUCCCAGAGAAAUGCUGCGGUGCACCGGCUUUGCCAGCGCAGGUCCAUCUCCAGCCACGAGGGGAUCAGGCACCAGCAGCCCAUUCAGGUCUCCGUUAUAGGAACUUGAUGGUCUCUGGUUCUCAUUCACCGAACCUCCCGGCCGGUCCAGCUUGAGGAUGUCCCGCAGGUGCUGCGUGGCGUCCUCGAUGUCGAUGCUGUUGGAGGAGGCCAUAGGGCCCGGCCCGCUUCCCGCCCGCCCC